UACGGAAGGCAGCAGUGGGGAAUAUUGCACAAUGGGCGCAAGCCUGAUGCAGCCAUGCCGCGUGUAAUGAAGUAAGGCCUUACGGGUUGUAAAGUACUUUCAGUCGUGAGGAAGGUGUUAAGGUUAAUAACCUUAGCAAUUGACGUUAGCGACAGAAGAAGCACCGGCUAACUCCGUGCCAGCAGCCGCGGUAAUACGGAGGGUGCGAGCGUUAAUCGGAAUUACUGGGCUAAAGGGCACGCAGGCGGUUAAUUAAGUUGGAUGUGAAAUCCCCGGGCUUAACCUGGGAAUGGCAUUCAAGACUGGUUAGCUAGAGUCUUGUAGAGGGGGUAGAAUUCCAUGUGUAGCGGUGAAAUGCGUGGAGAUGUGGAGGAAUACCGGUGGCGAAGGCGGCCCCUGGGACAAAGGACUGACGCUCAUGUGCGAAAGCUGGGGAGCAAACAGGGAUUAGAUACC
rnacentral:rRNA from 1 species